GACGAACGCUGGCGGCGUGCUUAACACAUGCAAGUCGAACGGAAAGGCCCUGCUUUUGUGGGGUGCUCGAGUGGCGAACGGGUGAGUAACACGUGAGUAACCUGCCCUUGACUUUGGGAUAACUUCAGGUAACUGGGGCUAAUACCGGAUAGGAGCUCCUGCUGCAUGGUGGGGGUUGGAAAGUUUCGGCGGUUGGGGAUGGACGCGCGGCUUAUCACCUUGUUGGGGGGGUAGUGGCUUACCAAGGCUUUGACGGGUAGCCGGCCUGAGAGGGUGACCGGCCACAGUGGGACUGGGAUACCGCCCAGACUCCUACGGGAGGCAUGAGUGGAGCAUAUAGCACAAUGGGCGGACGCGUGAUGCAGCAACGCCGCGUGCGGGAUUACGGCCUUCGGGUAGUAAACCGCUUUCGCUUGUGACGAAGCGUGAGUGCCGGUAAUGGGGAAAGAAGCCCCGCCUAGCUACGU
rnacentral:rRNA from 1 species